rnacentral:rRNA from 1 species
GAUGAACGCUGGCGGCGUGCCUAAUACAUGCAAGUCGAGCGAAUGGAUUGAGAGCUUGCUCCUAUGAAGUUAGCGGCGGACGGGUGAGUAACACGUGGGUAACCUGCCCAUAAGACUGGGAUAACUCCGGGAAACCGGGGCUAAUACCGGAUAACAUUUUGAACCGCAUGGUUCGAAAUUGAAAGGCGGCUUCGGCUGUCACUUAUGGAUGGACCCGCGUCGCAUUAGCUAGUUGGUUAGGUAACGGCUCACCAAGGCAACGAUGCGUAGCCGACCUGAGAGGGUGAUCGGCCACACUGGGACUGAGACACGGCCCAGACUCCUACAGGAGGCAGCAGUAGGGAAUCUUCCGCAAUGGACGGAAGUCUGACGGAGCAACGCCGCGUGAGUGAUGAAGGCUUUCGGGUCGUAAAACUCUGUUGUUAGGGAAGAACAAGUGCUAGUUGAAUAAGCUGGCACCUUGACGGUACCUAACCAGAAAGCCACGGCUAACUACGUGCCAGCCGCCGCCGUAA